CCGUGAUCUAACAAGUAGCUGACUUUGCCACUCCCUUACUUGCUACCAGCUGGCAAAACAAUUAUUAGGUGCUUGGAGUGAACAGUAAACAUUUGACUCAAGGUUCAGAGGUCAGACGUUUAACUACUGGCUGGAAUGGUGGAAAGGGGGAAUGUAAGGAGAAAAGCUGGCCAUCGCAUGACACAACUAUAAACAGGAAACACAAAACUCUUUGUGAUGUUUUUAAUUUCCUGCUUCCAACGGAGAUGUGAACUUCAUUCACCC
rnacentral:lncRNA from 13 species